GUCCACGCCCUAAACGAUGAGUGCUAGAUAUCGGGAACUUAGUUUUCGGUUUCGCAGCUAACGCAUUAAGCACUCCGCCUGGGGAGUACGGUCGCAAGAUUAAAACUCAAAGGAAUUGACGGGGGCCCGCACAAGCAGUGGAGCAUGCGGUUUAAUUCGAUGUUACGCGAAAACCUUACCAACCCUUGACAUGGUGGUCGCGGAUCGUAGAGAUACUUUCCUUCAGUUCGGCUGGACCACACACAGGUGUUGCAUGGCUGUCGU
rnacentral:rRNA from 1 species